GCUGUGUCUCAAUUCAGGGUCUGCAUCCUACCUCGGCCGGAUUCGUCGGCCGGUUACGUCACAGCGCCGCGACUCGGCCUGUCCCAAUUCGAAGACUCCUUCAAAUGCGGUCGACGAAUGCGGCCUUCUUUUCGCCUGAAUGAAGGAUGGGUCGGGUGUAUCCUUCAAUAGGUAGCAUUUCCCAAGAUGCCUUGCGGGCCGGCCGGCCGAAAAACUUAAAAACAAUGGCGGACAGUGAAGCGGGAGCUGUCGGAGAGGAUUGCGCAUAUAAAUGACCGAAAGAGAAAACCAGGGAAUUUAUUAAGCUUAGGGCGGAGAUGGACCACAUGAUCACCGGAGCAAAGUAUUCGGCGGCUGUGGCAUGGAGACUAUUCUGGAGAAAAUGGGCAUCCAGGGGAAGGUGCCAGCGAUGAGCUUCUGGAGCUGAUCUGGGAGGACAUGAGGCUGCAGAGCAGCAGAGAGCACAGGAGAGAAGGAAGAACUUUGACAGCUUUUUACUUUGCUAGAAAAAAAUGGUUAAUGAAGAUUAAACAUGUACAUGUAAAAGAAAUAUCUAAAUAAAAUCAGUUCUGCAUUAAA